UGAUGCAGCGACGCCGCGUGAGGGAUGACGGCCUUCGGGUUGUAAACCUCUUUCAACAGGGACGAAGCGCAAGUGACGGUACCUGUAGAAGAAGCACCGGCCAACUACGUGCCAGCAGCCGCGGUAAUACGUAGGGUGCGAGCGUUGUCCGGAAUUACUGGGCGUAAAGAGCUCGUAGGCGGUUUGUCAAGUCGUCUGUGAAAACCAGCAGCUCAACUGCUGGCUUGCAGGCGAUCCGGGCAGACUUGAGUACUGCAGGGGAGACUGGAAUUCCUGGUGUAGCGGUGAAAUGCGGAGAUAUCAGGAGGAACACCGGUGGCGAAGGCGGGUCUCUGGGCAGUAACUGACGCUGAGGAGCGAAAGCGUGGGUAGCGAACAGGAUUAGAUACCCUGGUAGUCCACGCCGUAAAUGGUGGGCGCUAGGUGUGGGUUUCCUUCCACGGGAUCCGUGCCGUAGCUAACGCAUUAAGCGCCCCGCCUGGGGAGUACGGCCGCAAGGCUAAA
rnacentral:rRNA from 1 species